UACGUAGGGGGCAAGCGUUGUCCGGAAUCAUUGGGCGUAAAGAGCGCGUAGGCGUUCCGGUAAGUCCGCUCUGAAAGUCCGGGGCUCAACCCCGGGAGGCGGGCGGAUACUGUCGGGCUAGAGUCCGGAAGAGGCGAGUGGAAUUCCUGGUGUAGCGGUGAAAUGCGCAGAUAUCAGGAGGAACACCAAUGGCGAAGGCAGCUCGCUGGGACGGUACUGACGCUGAGGCGCGAAAGCGUGGGGAGCAAACAGG
rnacentral:rRNA from 1 species